rnacentral:rRNA from 1 species
CCUACGGGGGGCAGCAGUGGGGAAUAUUGGACAAUGGGGGCAACCCCGAUCCAGCCAUGCCGCGUGUGUGAAGAAGGCCCUCGGGUUGUAAAGCACUUUCAGUGAGGAAGAACGCCUGGUGGUUAAUACCCAUCAGGAAAGACAUCACUCACAGAAGAAGCACCGGCUAACUCCGUGCCAGCAGCCGCGGUAAUACGGAGGGUGCGAGCGUUAAUCGGAAUUACUGGGCGUAAAGCGCGCGUAGGUGGCUUGAUAAGCCGGUUGUGAAAGCCCCGGGCUCAACCUGGGAACGGCAUCCGGAACUGUCAAGCUAGAGUGCAGGAGAGGAAGGUAGAAUUCCCGGUGUAGCGGUGAAAUGCGUAGAGAUCGGGAGGAAUACCAGUGGCGAAGGCGGCCUUCUGGACUGACACUGACACUGAGGUGCGAAAGCGUGGGUAGCAAACAGGAUUAGAUACCCUGGUAGUC